rnacentral:rRNA from 1 species
AAUAGAUACCCCGGUAGUCCACGCCGUAAACGAUGGAUGCUAGCUAUUGGGGGGAAUCGACCCCCUCCGAAGCGAAGCUAACGCGUUAAGCAUCCCGCCUGAGUAGUACGAGCGCAAGCUUAAAACUCAAAGGAAUUGACGGGGACCCGCACAAGCGGUGGAGCGUGUGGUUUAAUUCGAUGGUAAACGAAGAACCUUACCAAGGUUUGACAUCCCGGUAGCCGUUCUCCGAAAGGAGAAUUUCAUUUAGUUGGACCGGUGACAGGUGAUGCAUGGCCGUCGUCAGCUCGUGUCGUGAGAUGUUGGGUUAAGUCCCGCAACGAGCGCAACCCUUAUGAUUUAGUUGGAUUUUUCUAAACAGACUGCCCUGGUAACAGGGAGGAAGGAGGGGAUGAUGUCAGGUCAGUAUUUCCCUUACACCUUGGGGCGACACACGCGCUACAAUGGCCGGUACAAUGGGCAGCUAAGCCGCGAGGUGGAGCAAAUCCCAUCAAAGCCGGUCCCAGUUCGGAUUGCAGGCUGAAACCCGCCUGCAUGAAGCCGGAAUCGCUAGUAACCAGU